ensembl:lincRNA
AUUGUGUUCCUGUCCUCCCAUCUGUAUGUAAGAGUAAAAACUAAGAGAUUAAAACUUCUGUAUAGGUCGCUUCCAAGAUGGACGAAUAGGAACAACUCCAACCUACAACUCCCAGCAAGAUUGAUGCAGAAGAUGGGCAAUUUCUGCAUUUCCAACUGAGGUAACUGGUUCAUCUCACUGGGACUGGUUGGACAGUUGGUGCAGCCCAGGGAGGGUGAGCUGAAGCAGGGUGGGGUGCUGCCUCACCCAGGAAGCACAAGGGGUUGGGGGAUUUCCCUUUCCU